rnacentral:rRNA from 1 species
GGGGAAUAUUGGACAAUGGGCGAAAGCCUGAUCCAGCCAUGCCGCGUGUGUGAAGAAGGUCUUCGGAUUGUAAAGCACUUUAAGUUGGGAGGAAGGGCAGUAAGUUAAUACCUUGCUGUUUUGACGUUACCAACAGAAUAAGCACCGGCUAACUUCGUGCCAGCAGCCGCGGUAAUACGAAGGGUGCAAGCGUUAAUCGGAAUUACUGGGCGUAAAGCGCGCGUAGGUGGUUCAGCAAGUUGGAUGUGAAAUCCCCGGGCUCAACCUGGGAACUGCAUCCAAAACUACUGAGCUAGAGUACGGUAGAGGGUGGUGGAAUUUCCUGUGUAGCGGUGAAAUGCGUAGAUAUAGGAAGGAACACCUGUGGCGAAGGCGACCACCUGGACUGAUACUGACACUGAGGUGCGAAAGCGUGGGGAGCAAACA